GUGUCAGCCGCCGCGGUAAUACGUAGGGGGCAAGCGUUGUUCGGAAUUACUGGGCGUAAAGGGCGCGUAGGCGGCACGGCAAGUCAGGAGUGAAAGCCCUGGGCUCAACCCGGGAACUGCUUUUGAAACUGCCGAGCUAGAGUGCGGAAGGGGCAACUGGAAUUCCCAGUGUAGCGGUGAAAUGCGUAGAUAUUGGGAAGAACACCUGAGGCGAAGGCGGGUUGCUGGGCCGACACUGACGCUGAGGCGCGAAAGCCAGGGGAGCGAACGGGAUUAGAUACCCUCGUAGUCC
rnacentral:rRNA from 1 species